CAAAAAGUGAUGACUCAAAUGAAAAAAAAAAACACUGAAGACAUCUCACAUUAUAGAACGGUUUAAGUAAAUUGUAAUUUGUUAAUUUUUUUCCCUCUCUCUCCUCUAUAUUCCCCCAUAUGUUCUGUAUUGGAUUAUAUUUCUGCAAAAAAAAUAAUAAUUAUGGAAGUAAUUGUCCAACAGACCAUGGUGUACUAAGAGACUGUCAUGCUGCUCCACGUCGACAGAUGGCAGUGCUGGUAUUCGUGCUUAAAGCACAAAGAGCGAGAGAACUAUUGAAAGGGUCUCUCAGCGGUACAAGAAUCAAGGGUGUUUGUAUGUGGGUUGGUAGGUUAAUCAGGAGAUUGUAGAUCGAGUGUCAAUGGUCCAUUUGAGAUAUAGGUGACGGUAAUGCACUUAUAAGUCUGCGAUCCGCCGUAAAGCAACAAGAACAACUAUUGAAAGCUCCUCGAUUAAAUGCUUGCGUUUUGAUAGAAGUGAGCACAUUAAAAUAUACUUACUGACUAAAACAACAUUAUAGGCUUGCUGUAGUGAAUGGGGGUUUAAGUGUGGCGGCUCGGAUUUGGUAGGAAACCGCGCGUUUACGUCACGUCCGGCAACACAAAGUCUGGCGCGGAUGGUUGUGUUGUUUGGAGAUCAGCGGUUUUUGAAACCGUCAGCUAGUCAUCACGGAUUAUGGAUCGCUCUAAACUGAAACCUUCGCCUCGGACCGCACAGAACCUGCUAGCGAAGCGGGAAAGCAAUAGAGUUCACGGCAAAACUAGAAUCAAUAUCGGCAGAGCGUUCGAGCGGUGGCGACAGCUCCGAGAUCUCGCGGGAUUUAACAGUGACCCGGAGCUGGCUUCUUUCUUGCUGGACAGGGUGUGUGGUGAACAUCUUUCACAAGACCAUUCCAGUGAAUCUCCGAGAAAGAGAGGAAGACGGCAGAAAUCAACAUCUGCACUGAAGUCUGAGACUCAGAGCGAUUCACCUCAGCCUAGUCCAGAUCUUCAGUCCACAAACGUUGAGGUCCUUGGGAUCUGCUACGACGUCCCUCCCCUAUGGUUAUAUCAGCCGGUAAGUGCUCACAUAUGCUAGUUUUGCGACCAUUGGCUUGCAAUGCAGCACUUAAUU
rnacentral:lncRNA from 1 species